AUGCUCCCCGACGUGGGGAACAUCAUUUUCAUUUUGCAGAUGAGAACCUCGAGGCUCAGUGACCUGAUCCACUCGAGGUCACAGAGAACAGAGGGAAGAAGAGCUGUGCAGGGUGGGGUCUUGUCUCGGGGUGCUCCCCAGUUACAGCAGAGACGCCCCGCAGAGAGGACACCCCCAGGGCUCUGCUGGCCAGCUUCCUGGGCACCUUGGGCCUUUUACACCUGCAGGCCACUCCCUGUCCCCGGCAUGUCACCUCUUUCCUGCGCACCUGGCCAACUCCCAGUUAGGACAGCAUGGAGCUCGAGAAAGCUCUUCAGGGGAGUCCGAGUGCUGCCGACGGGGCAGUCGCUUGGGCUGCGCGGCCACGGCACCUGGAGGCACCUGGACGGCCUUCCAGGACGCCCCUGCUUCCGACGUCCUCCGGGGUACGGAGGGGGCCGCUGCGGCCCGUGGGGAGUCACCGGGGCUGGGCGCUGCGGGGCAUCGCAGGUGCGGGACGCUGGGACAAACCCGUCUGGGGCUGAUGUCAGCACUGCCUGCGGCGUCCAGGCCGCCCGCGGGCGACGCUCCACCUCCCGGGGAGGACGCCCCGUGGGGACCGCGAUGGCUGCGCCGCCAGCGGACCCUGCCCCUGCAGCUCCACACUCGCUGCCUCCUCCCGGCACCGCCGGCUCGCGGCGGCCUCUUCACGUGUCUACCAAGCACCUGGAGCGUGUCCCGCAAGCUCGGGCGCAGGGGGGCGCAGGGGGGCGCUGCGGGCCCGGGACGGCGGCCUCGCCCCCCCCCUCCCCGGGGUGCAGCGGCGGCGGGGCCGGGCCGGGCUGCACACAAAGGAGCGACUGCCAGGUGCGUGCGCUGCGCCGGCGGGGCGGGGGGCGGGGGGCCGGGGGGCCGGGGGGCGGGGCCGGGGCGCAGCAUCCCGCCGUGACUCAUCCGCGGCGCUGUCUGGCGGGCACCGGGGGCGGCGGCGCUGCGGGUCCCCAAGCGCCCAGCGGCGCGCGGCAAGUGCACGUCACCCGGCCCGGCCCGCCCCCCCCGCCCCCCCAGCACCCCGGCCGGGCCGCUGCGACACUCACCCCGGGCAGCGCGCACGCGGCGGGGGGCGGGGGCGGGGGCGGCCCGGGGGGGCGGGGGGCGGGGGGCGGGCGCGGCACGGCGCAUGCGCGGCAGCCGGGCGGGCUCUGCGGCACCGCGGCGGGGGGGGGGGGGGGCUGUGCUCGGCCACGUGACGUGACGCCGCUGCGGCGCCCGGGCCACCGCAGUCACGUGGCGGCGGCCGGGCCCGCAAAGCAGCCCCCCCAUUUUGCAGAUGUCAACACUGAGAUUCGGAAAAUGAGGGGGGUGGGCGGCAGAAUGGGCCCCCGCCCUGGCUGCCCUUCGCGGGUUCGGCGGGGCGGCGGGGCGCGGCCCGGUGGGGAGGCCUCUGCGGGGCGGGGGGAGGACGGGUCCACGCGGGCGAGCGGGGGCCGCAGCCCCGUCCGACGGAAGCCCCGCGCGCGUCCUCACGGCUGCCUGCUCGCAGGGGAGCCCCGCGCGCAACGGGCCGGCCACGGAUCGGGGAGGGGAGGGGGGGCGGGCGCGGGGGCCUCGGGCAGCGGGCCCGGGGAGGGGUCAGAGCCGCGGGGUGCGGGGCGAGGGAGACCAGCCCCGAGCCCACGGCCCGCGUCCGCUUGGGAGACUGGGGCGGAGGACGGAGCCCGCAGGAGGGCGAGGUGGGGACUCACGGCCUGGACAGCGCGGGUAACUCCCGUCCUCUCUCCUUCCUGCAGCGGGUGCUCAGGGGCUAUUUACUCCACGAAGGAGUGGAUGCACGCAGCCAUCUCGCAGGGGUUCCAUGAAGCCGUGGGCGUGCAUGUCCUCGCCCAGAGCCAGAAGAAAGUCAGAGGUGGACUUUGGAAGGUCUUUAGGCGAGGCUGGGACCCACGGAGAAGCACAUCCCCCGGCCAGUAGCCUUCUGUAGGAUCGACUGCCACCUCCUGCUUCACGGCCACCAAGGUCCAAUCUCUAAGGCUUCAUUCACUGUCUAACUGCAUAAACCAGUCCAUCUACCAACUGGCAAAUAGGUCUGACCCGCUGGGUAGAGGAGCCCGAUUUAAGGUUCAGGAAACACCACAGAGAGGACUCAGACAAGCAUUAUUUAUGGCAGGGAAACAUGGGGCACAGCCCCAUUGUCCAGUGAGAGGAGAAGCUGAGCAAAUCAUACUGGAAUAAUAUAUAACCAUGAAAUCAUAUUUUUAAAGACGUUUUAAUGACAUAGGUAAAGACUUUCAGUAUAAUGGUUAAGAGGAAAAAAAAAACCACCCAGGUUAUAUUCUUUUAAAAAGCAGGUUAUAGAACUCUGCAUACAACAUGAUCCUUAUUUUGUAAAAGAAAACAAAACCUAGAGAAAAUAUUCAUGUAUAGAAAAGGAUUAGGGAGGAAAUAGAUGAAAAUAUUCAGUCAUUGUGCUCUGUGGGCAGUGUUGAGGUUAAAGAGGAUUUUUGUUUUUUACACUUUUUUAUGAUUCUCCAAAUUUUCUACAAUGAACAUGUAUUACUUUUAUGAUCUGAAAAAUCAUUAAAAUGAAGAUUUGAAAACACCUUUCAUGCUAACAAGUAGUAAUUAAGUCAGUGAUAGUUAACUCAUUGAAAAAUUUUAAAGCUAACUUAAUUGCCUUCAAACAUGCCAUUUAUUAAAGAUUUACAAAAAUAACUGGUCUUUGAACUCACUGAUAAGGAGCUUUAUUAAAAUGCUAGGAAAAUCAUUCCAUUGUUUUUAACCUUCAUCAAAAUUUCCCUGGCACUUGAGCAAGUCCUAUUUGCCAAAUUUUUGAGGGAAUGGUUUCUGCCAUGAACCUUAAUGUUUUAUUUUUCAGGCAAGCUAUACACUUGGCAAAAAUAAUAACAGUAGACCUUAUGUUUGUAAAACAUUUCAUAAUUUGCAGAGCAUACUAAGCUUUGGGUACUAUUCUAGGCUCUGAAUAUAGGAGAUAUCAUCAUAAACAAAAUGGUUAAAAGUCCCUGCCUUUGGGGAGUUGAUAUUGAUGAGGGCAGACAAUAAACAAAUGAGUAUGAUAUAGAGAUGUUGGUGAUGGGUGAUAAGUGCUAUGAGAAAAAAUGGAUAGAAGAGGGAUAGGGAAAAAUGGGGGGGGGGCCUGCUCUUUUAAAUGACUUUGAUUACUGUUUUUUUUUUUUUUUUUUUUUUUUUUGACUUUGAUUACUGUUUGAAUAGUGAAGGUGUCUCUAAAAAUUCUAUAGCCUGUAGACAAUUAACAUAAAGGUAUAAAGUAGUUGAAGAUAUUCCUGGAGGAAGCAUUCCAAUAACUAAUUACAUAUCAUCUAAGAUACAACGUGCUAAUUAUCAAUUUUAUAGACUCAUAAAAUUGUGAUGAGUCAUAGGGAUGUUUUAAGUGUUCUAUACUAGCAAAGUUAGAUAGCCCUCAAACUUUCUAAGCCUCAGUGGUCUCAUCUAUAAAAUGGGGGACAAUUUCAGUACCUCAAUCAGAGGACUGUUGCCAGAAUUCAAAGAGAAAUGCUUGGAAAACAGCAUGUGCUCAAUGUACGUUCACAAUGCAGACAUGGCAAGGCCACUGGGAGAGGCCCAUUUGACAUUGCCUUAUGUUUCCUAUCUAUUCUUCUAGACUCGCAAUUGUACUGGGAGGUGCGUAAUAUAUUUUUUCCCCACUUUCAGGAGGAAAUUGAGGCUCUGAAAGAUAAAUCUCCUGCCUAGAAUCCUAUGUUAUAAACCCAGACAGCUGGCUCCAAGUAGCCAUGUUCUCAGCCACAGCUCUACUUUGUGCUCACUUGCCAAGGGGUUCCAGAAGGUCCCCAGGCCUCAGUUUCUAUUUUUAGGAGGCUGAGGGCAGAUUUAGACCUUUCUGGCCCUUACCCUGUGCUCUGAGCACUUCCAAGGCAAAGGCUUCACGUAAAAGGACAGAAUGUGUCUGAUUAUUCCCAAAGACUGAAGGUAAUGCCCAUAUCCCCAUCACAUUCCCUCUGGGCUGUGUUCUAGAAACUUAUAUGGACUGCAAGAUACAAACCUAAUUAGUUCCUGAUUAACUCCUUUGGGAAGAAGAAGAGUGAGGAUUAUGGAGGAUGCGGGGAUAUGACACCCUAGUGGGUGAAUGGGAGGCCGGGGUACCUGAAGAAGAGGAGAAGGGGGGUUUCUGUGUAGGAGGAGCCCCGAGGAGGCAGCCCAUUCCCAAAGUCCCCCAUCAGGCAACGUGUGGACAGACCCACCCCUCCUCUGCCCCGUUUUGGGCCGCUAAGCCACAGGUGGCCAGGACUAGCUUGGGUGUCCACAAGCUGGAUCUUUGCUUUCUUCCCAACGGCGCUCCUGCUGCCUACACCCUCCGCCACCCCAGAGGUCCCAGCGUCCUCCCCUAGGUGCUGGGUCUCUCUGCUCGGAGUCUGAGACCCCAGCUGCACAGACAGGCACAUCUCUGCUUGGGGACCUUCCAGCUCCGGAGUAGGCCACUGGCUCCAUUUUCUCCCAAAGUUCACCAUUUUUGGUGCCUCCUGGCUCAGGGGCCUGGGUGAACACACCACAGUAAGCAGGGAAACAGGGCUGAGACCCCUCAGACCUCCCGCUGUCUCCCUGCCCUGGUGGCUGCUCCCCCUGCUGUUUUCUGCUGCGUGUCUGAACCGCCACUGCUGGAACGUCCAAGCCACCUGACAGGCAGGCUAUGGCUCCUCAGGGAGAGCAAUCCUCCCCCCCGCCCCUCCCCCAAACUGCAGAGUGGGGAGAGGUGUGCACAACCGGGCGCACACGCUGUGAGAAGUGCGUGAGCAGCCUCCUCCAGGGCCGCAGGCAGCAGCCAAGGGCACAGGGGAAAGGCCGUCAGAUACAGUUCUUUCCCUCCUGGAUGGAUGUGGCGCGCUGUGGGGGAAGAGCUGGCCCAGGGAGCAGAAAGCCAGAAAGCCGGCGGAGGAGGGGCUGAGAAAGGGCAGGCCCUAAAUUUUAAAUCACAAUUAGACGCCGUCAAGGCCUUGGGGGAUUCAGAGGCCUCCCCGAAGGGGGCUGGGUGGGGGGUCGCGUCCCCACGGCCUCAGGGGAACUCACUCCGCCGCAGCAUCUGCUGGUGCCCGAAACUUCCUAAAAUGACACCUGUAGCCAACCUGAAAUGAAUCCUGGCUGCGUGCCAAGCACCACGGCAGGCGCCCCCCCCCCCCCCCCCACCGGCGUCAUCCCGUUUCCUCCUUUCGACACACAGUCCUGGUGGGGAAACUAAGGCUGCGGGGAGGUGGAGUGUCUCUGUCUAGGGUCACACGGCGAGGAAGUCCAUCAAGCCCGUCCUGCGGUACCAAAGCCCGAAACGGUCUGCUCGCAACAGAGUCCUGCCCACCUGUCCGGGGAGGAAACUGAGGCACGGGGAGGUGAAGUCAGGCUGUCUGGGGAGGGAGUCCUGCGGGGCACCCCAGAGGCGGGCGCCCGUGGGGCCGUGCGGGUGGAGACCGGGGGUCGGGCUCCCGGGGCCCCUGCCUCGCACACCUGUCACUCAGGCCUUGGCCGCCGCGACACCCGGAGGGCAGCGCCGGGUCGUCUGCGCACCCGCCUCGGGGCCGCGGGGGGCAGGGCCGCGCGAGGCCGGGGUGGGGCGGGGCGGGGCGGGGUGGGCACGGCCCGGCCUCCGAGGGCGCGGGGGACAGGCGUGUGCGCCGCCGGGCGCUGCGCAGUCGGCCGGGGCCGGGCCUGGACCCCGCGCGUCCCCCGGCGCGCAGCGGGGAGGUGCGCCCGACGGAGCAGGG
rnacentral:lncRNA from 1 species